CGUCCAGCAGCGAGUCGAGGAACUUGAUGAUCUUCACGGGAUCUUUGGCGUUCUUGCUGAUGCCGAAGCCGUUGUUCAAGUUGAUGACCGGGCGA
rnacentral:tRNA from 1 species